rnacentral:rRNA from 1 species
GAUGAACGCUGGCGGCGUGCCUAAUACAUGCAAGUCGAGCGAAUGGAUUAAGAGCUUGCUCUUAUGAAGUUAGCGGCGGACGGGUGAGUAACACGUGGGUAACCUGCCCAUAAGACUGGGAUAACUCCGGGAAACCGGGGCUAAUACCGGAUAACAUUUUGAACCGCAUGGUUCGAAAUUGAAAGGCGGCUUCGGCUGUCACUUAUGGAUGGACCCGCGUCGCAUUAGCUAGUUGGUGAGGUAACGGCUCACCAAGGCAACGAUGCGUAGCCGACCUGGGAGGGUGAUCGGGCACAGUGGGACAGAGACACGGCCCAGACUCCUACGGGAGGCAGCAGUAGGGAAUCUUCCGCAAUGGACGAAAGUCUGACGGAGCAACGCCGCGUGAGUGAUGAAGGCUUUCGGGUCGUAAAACUCUGUUGUUAGGGAAGAACAAGUGCUAGUUGAAUAAGCUGACACCUUGACGGUACCUAACCAGAAAGCCACGGCUAACUACGUGCCAGCAGCCGCAGUAA